AUUGAACGCUGGCGGAAUGCUUUACACAUGCAAGUCGAGCGGCAGCGCGGGGCAACCUGGCGGCGAGCGGCGAACGGGUGAGUAAUGCAUCGGAACGUACCCCGUCGUGGGGGAUAACUACCCGAAAGGGUAGCUAAUACCGCAUACGACCUGAGGGUGAAAGCGGGGGACCGAAAGGCCUCGCGCGAUGGGAGCGGCCGAUGCCGGAUUAGCUAGUUGGUAGGGUAAAGGCCUACCAAGGCGACGAUCCGUAGCUGGUCUGAGAGGACGACCAGCCACACUGGAACUGAGACACGGUCCAGACUCCUACGGGAGGCAGCAGUGGGGAAUUUUGGACAGUGGGCGAAAGCCUGAUCCAGCCAUUCCGCGUGAGUGAAGAAGGCCUCGGUUGUAAGACUACUUCGGUCAGGAACGAACGGUAGAAGGACGUAAUAACCUUUACUAAUAG
rnacentral:rRNA from 1 species